AACGAACGCUGGCGGCAUGCCUAACACAUGCAAGUCGAACGAGACCUUCGGGUCUAGUGGCGCACGGGUGCGUAACGCGUGGGAACCUGCCCUUAGGUUCGGAAUAACUCCCCGAAAGGGGUGCUAAUACCGGAUAAUGUCUUCGGACCAAAGAUUUAUCGCCUUUGGAUGGGCCCGCGUUGGAUUAGCUAGUUGGUAGGGUAAAAGCCUACUAAGGCGACGAUCCAUAGCUGGUCUGAGAGGAUGAUCAGCCACACUGGGACUGAGACACGGCCCAGACUCCUACGGGAGGGAGCAGAGGGGAAUAUUGGACAAUGGGCGAAAGGCUGAUCCAGCAAUGCCGGGUGAGUGAUGAAGGCCGUAGGGUUGUAAAGCUCUUUUAACCGGGAUGAUAAUGACAGUACCGGGAGAAUAAGCACCGGCUAACUCCGUG
rnacentral:rRNA from 1 species